GGGCGAUUAGCUCAGUGGGAGAGCGCUACCUUGACACGGUAGAGGUCACUGGUUCAAUCCCAGUAUCGCCCACCG
rnacentral:tRNA from 9 species